AUUGAACGCUGGCGGCAGGCCUAACACAUGCAAGUCGAACGAGUGGCGGACGGGUGAGUAAUGUCUGGGAAACUGCCCGCUGGAGGGGGAUAACUACUGGAAACGGUAGCUACUACCGCAUACUAUCGGAUGUGCCCAGAUGGGCUUAGCUAGUUGGUGGGGUAAAGGCUCCCCUGGGCGACGAUCCCUAGCUGGUCUGAGAGGAUGAACAGCGACACUGGAACUGAGACACGGUCCAGACUGCUACGGGAGGCAGCAGUGGGGAAUAUUGCACAAUGGGCGCAAGCCUGAUGCAGCCAUGCCGCGUGUAUGAAGAAGGCGUUCGGGUUGUAAAGUACUUUCAGCGAGGAGGCGUUACGCGCAGAAGAAGCACCGGCUAACUCCGUGCCAGCAGCCGCGGUAAUAC
rnacentral:rRNA from 1 species